rnacentral:rRNA from 1 species
AGUGUAGGCGGGAAGGCAAGUCAGAAGUGAAAAUUAUGGGCUUAACCCAUAACCUGCUUUUGAAACUGUUUUUCUUGAGUGAGGCAGAGGCAAGCGGAAUUCCUAGUGUAGCGGUGAAAUGCGUAGAUAUUAGGAGGAACACCAGUGGCGAAGGCGGCUUACUGGACGAUGACUGACGUUGAGGCUCGAAAGCGUGGGGAGCAAACA